rnacentral:rRNA from 1 species
AUGAUGCUGUUAAUGUUGCUGAUUUUGUUCUUUCGUGAAAUUAUUCGCUUGCAUGGUGUGCCAAAUACUAUUGUUUCAGAUCGUGAUACUAAAUUUCUUAGCCACUUUUGGAGAUGUUUAUGGGCUAAGUUGGGGACUAAACUGCUUUUUAGUACUACUUGUCACCCCCAAACUGAUGGACAAACUGAAGUAGUCAAUAGAACGUUGUCUACUAUGCUUAGGGCUGUUUUGAAGAAUAAUAAGAAAAUGUGGGAGGAAUGCUUGCCUCAUAUUGAAUUUGCUUAUAAUCGUUCAUUGCAUUCUACUACUAAGAUGUGCCCUUUUGAAGUUGUGUAUGGUUUCCUACCUCGUGCACCUAUUGAUUUGUUGCCUCUUCCAUCUUCGGAGAAGAUUAAUUUUGAUGCUAAACAACGUGCUGAAUUGAUUUUAAAAAUGCAUGAGUUAACUAAGGAAAACAUUGAGCGCAUGAAUGCUAAAUAUAAACUUGCUGGAGAUAAGGGUAGAAAACAUGUUGUGUUUGCACCUGGAGAUCUUGUUUGGUUACAUUUGCGUAAGGAUAGAUUUCCUGAUUUGCGCAAAUCAAAGCUAAUGCCACGUGCUGAUGGUCCCUUUAAGGUGUUAGAGAAAAUAAAUGAUAAUGCAUAUAAACUUGAGCUGCCUGCAGAUUUUGGGGUUAGUCCCACUUUUAACAUUGCAGAUUUGAAGCCUUAUUUGGGUGAGGAAGAUGAACUUCCGUCGAGGACGACUUCAUUUCAAGAAGGGGAGGAUGAUGAGGACAUCAAUACAAUUGUUACACCCACAGCCCCUGCUGCUAUACAUACUGGACCAAUUACUAGAGCUCGCGCACGCCAACUAAAUUACCAGGUACUUUCGUUUCUUGGUAAUGAUUCUAAUGUUCAUGAGAAUAUGAUGCUGCCUAAAUUGGAUACAUUUGUUUUGCUUACAAAUGAAGGGCCUAGCUUGGAGAAGGAUGAACAUUGGAGCAAGAACAAGCAUGGAGAUGAUGGCAUGUGCAAGGGGAACAAGAACGGAGUUACAAGUGAUGAUUUCAGGACUUUGAAGCCACCAUAA